CCUACGGGGCGCAGCAGUGGGGAAUAUUGGGCAAUGGGCGCAAGCCUGACCCAGCAACGCCGCGUGAAGGAAGAAGGCUUUCGGGUUGUAAACUUCUUUUCUUGGGGACGAAGAAAGUGACGGUACCCAAGGAAUAAGCCACGGCUAACUACGUGCCAGCAGCCGCGGUAAUACGUAGGGGGCAAGCGUUAUCCGGAUUUACUGGGUGUAAAGGGAGCGUAGACGGCAUAGCAAGUCUGAUGUGAAAGAUCGGGGCUCAACCCCGGGCCUGCAUUGGAAACUGUUAAGCUGGAGUACAGGAGAGG
rnacentral:rRNA from 1 species